rnacentral:rRNA from 1 species
AGCGAACGUUGGCGGCAGGCUUAACACAUGCAAGUCGAGCGGGCAUCCUUGUGGUGUCAGCGGCAGACGGGUGAGUAACGCGUGGGAACGUGCCCUUCGGUUCGGAAUAACUCAGGGAAACUUGAGCUAAUACCGGAUACGUGCGAGAGCAGAAAGGUUUAUCUGCCGAAGGAUCGGCCCGCGUCUGAUUAGCUAGUUGGUGAGGUUAUGGCUCACCAAGGCGACGAUCAGUAGCUGGUCUGAGAGGAUGAUCAGCCACACUGGGACUGAGACACGGCCCAGACUCCUACGGGAGGCAGCAGUGGGGAAUAUUGGACAAUGGGGCAACCCUGAUCCAGCCAUGCCGCGUGAGUGAUGACGGCCUUAGGGUUGUAAAGCUCUUUUCUCCGGGACGAUAAUGACGGUACCGGAGGAAUAAGCCCCGGCUAACUUCGUG